GGACGGCUGCCAGCAAUGUCCUGGUGGCUCUGGCCCGGACACACUUCAGCUUGGUGAUGGCUGAGCUCCAGAGCCACCUGAAGGCCACACGGGAGAUGUCUAAGGACUUUGUGCUCGUGACCCUGGGCAAACUCUUCAGCACCUAUGCUCCACAGUGCAUCUCCUUUGUGUGGCUGACGCUGGCUGGCCUGCGCAGUCUGGUGGGCCAGGUGAGGAGCGGCCAAACCCUGCGCAUCGCUUGUGCUGUUGUGAAGCAGUGGAUGGAGGGAGUCAAGAUUCACCGCCCCUGGCCUGCCACAGAGAAAGAACAAAUCUAUGAGAAUCUUCACCAGCUCUUCUUCUCUGUGGUGAGGAACUGGCAGGACUGCCAGGAGGAAGAGGACAAACAGGCCGUCCUCGGGGCUGUGGCUGCCAUGUUGGCUGUCCUCCUGCAAGAGGAGCUGCCCCGAGAGCAUGUCUGGGAGCAGCUCCUCUGGCUCGUGCACCCAUGUCAGGACGUGCAAGACACCUGCAGGAUGGCCAAGAGCCUUCGUAUGUUCCUUGAGGCCUUAGAGGAAGUUCAAUCUGUCAUCCCUAAGGACAAGUUUCUGGACGUCACCAGUGCUGUAUUCUACCAGCUAUAUGACGAUGCCAAGCAGCACAGCGAGGCUGACAGAGCAGAGCUGACCCACUGCAUCAUGCUGCAGGGUAAGGAGAGGAGACUUGGUGAUACUUGGCAGUGCCCAGACCAAAACAUCUCU
rnacentral:lncRNA from 1 species